UUGAGUUGAGAUUCACGCAAAUUCCAUCGAGUCUUGUCUCUAACACCGGAUCAAAUGACGAGAAGCUGCAAUACCCAUUACCCGGAUCGACGAUGGAUCAAUUUCUCAUUAACGAGGGUUGAUCUUCUUGCUCUAUCGAAGCUUUUCCCCCUGAAUCAACUAGAUCCCUUACCAAAGGAAAAACAGAGCUUUCUUGGAAGUCAUGAAAGCCUCUGCAUUGAAACCCAUCAAAAUUUUUACAGGUCUGUAGAUUCUCUGCACUGUCGUCUUCAAGAUUUCUUUGAUCAUUAGUUGAUGGAUCUGAUUCGUUAUAUACACUUGAAGCUGUUAUCAUAUUAUUUGUGAUAGAACUGUAGGUGUUUGUCGUAGUUACAUAUUAACAUUUGGACUGCUUAUGCUAGAGACAUGUUUAGCUCUGUUUUGUUAGGUUGAUAAUCUACUAUAAUGGCUAAAUAGUUGUGCUCCUUCUCUCAAUAUCAGCAUUGGGUUGGUCACAUUGUUCUAAAAGGUUCCAGAGUUCAAACCCUGGUUUCAUUUGUUUAAUUUUUGCCAGUGUCUGUUCAUUUUUGGUCAUCAAUUCUCCCUUGCCAUACACAAGAAGUUAUAUUAAUCAAUCCCAUGAAACAAAGAACUUUGUGAAAACUGCACUCCAUAAUUAAAAGGAAGAAAAACAAGAGUCAUAAAAUUUUAUUGAUGUUGACACUACCUACAUAGAUAUUAAGCUUCACUACGGGAAAAUUAACAAAUGUGAUAUAUGACUAAAUCCUUGUGCAGACAACAACAGAAUGAUAAUCGAGAUCCU
rnacentral:lncRNA from 1 species